rnacentral:lncRNA from 1 species
UUUGCGUUUAAAAUACCCAUCAGUCGCCUCUAUGCCUCUUCAUCCGUACAUGCGUAACUGUUGGCUCACCUUAUAAAGUUGACUAGAGUUCCCCCACCAUCCUCUUCCUCUCCCCGCUCGCUCCUCCCUAUCGCUUCAUCGAUCUAGUGCUUCAAAUCGACACUUUACAAGCCGUCAAUCGAGCUUAAUAUAUAGUAGUGCCCUUGAUCUCUUGGCCAAAACUUCCCCUACCCUCCUUUCUCCUCC